rnacentral:tRNA from 1 species
ACCUGGGUGGCUCAGUGAGUUGAGCAUCUGACUCUUGGUUUCGGCUCAGGUCAUGAUAACACAGCUUUGUGGGUUCGAGCCCCACAUCGGGUU